ACACAUUCCUUUCUUUUUUGUUUAGGGUUACUAGAUCCCGAAUGUCAUUGAACACUACUGCAAACAAUCCUUGUGCUUUCUUUUCGACAGACAAUUCAGGCAGAGUGGAGGAGCUUCAGUAUAAAGUCUGGUGGAACAUUGAAUAGAGAAGCAUGAAUCUCAUCUUUGGGACAUUAGCGCUCCUGAGUUUUCGAUUUCUCGGCGUUUUUGGUGACUGUCUUGGGGAACGUUCAGGUAUCAACAAAGAAUGCCGAAGUCAUUUUUAGUGCCAACAAUACAGUUGACCCAGUAACGUUAUCUCUAAAGAAUGUUACUUUCCUCCUCCUUGAGGCUUCCGGUCCUUUUUCGGUGUGCUCUCGGGGUUCCCAAGAACAUUGGAAUGGUCACAACAAGAAUUCUGGCAGUAACGAUGAGGAGGAAACUCACAAUAGGACCCCAGUUAUUGCUGAAGCGGUUGUUCGUAAAGUUACGAGGAGACGAAAUAUAACCCGACUAGUUAGGAAACUAAGUCCAAGAAAAGCUAAUGCCAAUUGUAGUACCGCUGGGACAACAGUGCUCGGGAUUCUUUUGGCCAAGUCACUAAUUAUUAAUAUUAUUUUGGUGGUAAAAUAUGGCCCUUAUAAGAUCUGUUGAAGACGCAGCAAUGAAGGACCCACAACCAACCGCGCUCAUCGUACCCAGGAACUCUGACAUUUUCUCGGAGCAAAUUCUCCUCGGCUAGUAUGGUGCGGUUUACUACGACAGGAAGUAAUGGAAUACCUUUAAGACAUCGGUAAUAUUUUGGUUAGAAGAUUUCCCACUGUAGUAGCAACUAACUGCAUGUUAUCUUUGUGAAAAUAAUGUUACGGGCUUUGUAGUAACUGCAUGCUAUCUUCUUCAGGUGUUAAUGGCAUGACCAUAUGGGUAAAAUUAACCAUGUAAAAAUUAAUUAUUGUUAUAUACUAUUGCUAGAUUGUGCAGUCGUAACUGCGAAUACAACAACAUAUUCAGACAAACAUUAGUUGUAAAUGAAGUGUUUUAACAAUUAAUUAUAUACACAAAGUUUCUUGAAGAUUUAGAGUAAUUUGAUAUUUGAAUCAUACUUAGGAGAGGAAGGAAGUUUUUUUUUUCUAUUGAAAUACAUGAUUUUAAUAACUGUGCAAUUUUUUGUACAACAUACCACUGUUCACGCAGACUAACUUUUGAGUUAACAAACCAGCACUUAUAGCAAGGUGUUUUUAACACUGAUAGAGUGCAUGUGUAUAUUAGGUUUGAAAAAAUAAUGAUUUCACAUUUUGAUAGAAAUAAUUAUCGUGAAUACAUGCUUCCGGGAUAAUAGUAAGUUGAUGACAAUUGUUCAUUUCUAAUUACUCUGCGAAUUUGCAGGCAUGAAAUCGGAUUAGUGUGCAGAUGGCGAGUUAAACAAUAUGGCUCAGUCCUUCCAUUCAGUGAUUUAUGCACCUUAAAUUUGUAUAUAUUCUUUGAAACGUUACCCUAGAAUAAGUCCCAUCCAAGUAGAUGCAUCUGAAAAAUGAGAGGAUUAAUAAGUUAAUGUUGUUGAUGGCUUAUUGCUCUGUCAAAGUAAAUCAUGAGUUACCAUUGAAUGAAUGAAACGAGCGAAGGGAAGUUUGACAUUGCAUGAUAGAAAAUGAAAAAAGUUAGCAAAAUUCUUGAUGUGCGCCGUACGUUGGUUUAUAUUUACUCAAGUGUCUUAGGUGAAAUCUUAGCCCAUGAAAAGAGACCGUUUUCUUCCAAUUAUCACUGCCGAAUGAGGUCAUGGAUGAUAAGUAAGUGAACAGGAAGUCUGUGGCCUCUUUUAUGUUUUACUUUUAUUUAUUCCUUUUACUUUUUAUAAAUUUUCUUGGCUCUUGCAAUCGCUCUGAUUAACAUACACUGCAUAUUUAACGUAGUGGAUGUUAUUAACACGUACUUAAUAGCGCUUUACAAAUGAGAUGACAUUCUCAAAUUAUGACAAUCUCUUUUGUAGAUGUUUCUGUAUACAAAUAUAAAUGCAGUCCAGUAACAGUAAAACACGUGUAUUUGCAAUUGCAGUUAACUAUUCUCUAAGGUAUUCCUAAUUCAUAUAUAUCUGAGCACUGAGGUACUACUCGUAGAUUCUAAGCUUUAUUUUUUCUGAGCACUUAAUUUAUUGUUAUUGUGUACUUUAUUCAGAUCACUCAGUGAAAAUACUUAACUCGCAAAGACCUGGCCGAAAGAGUUGGUUGUAAUACUACCAGGAAAAUGGUCAAUGCUCGUAAGACUUCGUGUACCUGCAAAGUUACUGGUAUUAACGUCACAUGCUCGAGAUAUUUUGUUCUGCUCGAAUGUUGUUCCCUUGUAUGGAGCCAAGCAGUCUCACUUGGAUCUUCACUUUCAGGCAAAAUCGCCGGAAGUGGUUGCUUCCUUUUCCCCGAAAAUGAUAGAAGGUACCUUUGGGAGAUUUCAUUUAUUUUUUAUUUAAAAUAAGAGAUCGCUUUUCCGUUCAAACUUCUUUGGAUUGAAUUUCUCAGCAUAUCAGCAGAGUCGCAAAUACUGAUCAUGACCAUCAUUAUUAUCAAACAGCUUAUUUAAUAAAGAAAUAGUUCGAACAAAUCCUUCGGGAUUGCUUCAGAAUGAAAUGAACUGAAGCUGUCUUGGGAAAGUUUUCUUAGAAACACCUUUCGAAACUAUCCAUAAAGGCUUAUUUUUAUGUCAUGAAUGAAAUAGACUAAGUGGAUGCUUUCACUAUCCUAGUAUUAUCACUAAGGAAAUCUGCUUAGCGAUAACCUUCCGGUUUUCUUAGUAUUGCACACGAGGGAAAUUUGGGAGCAGUCGUCCAGUUUCAGAUCUCUGUCUUUGAUUGCUGCAGAUAGAUACUGUUUCUGGUGCAAAACAAGAUAACCUCUGAUUGUUCUUUAGUCACUUGGGCUGAAUGUUUCAAAAUGUAAUCGAAGUGGAGGAAAUGUUUUGUUCAUUUUUACCAUCUGAUACAGCAACUCGCUUGCAAAAUGCGUGAUGGUAGCAGUAAUCAGAAGAUAACGAGAGAGUUGAAAAGAUAGAUCAUUCGUAGUCGUUUAGUUUGACAGAUAGAAACAGUCUACGAUGAAAUGACCAGCUGUGUGCUGAAAUCGUCCGCCACGAGUUAGCUCUGGUAGAAAUCGCAAAGGUAUGAAAAAUCAUCGCUUAUCAAAAAAGGGGUUAACUUUGAAGGCCGAAGAAAGGAAAAACUUGGAAUGAAUUUGAGAGGCAUAUUCGAAGUCUCCUAAUGGGUGAACUGCUGCGGGGCAGUCUGAGGAACCGAAAAAUUGGGGACAUGUGAACAUUGGAAGCGUGGUGAGGAAAAAGGCAAGAGCUGUUUUCCAUAUUUCUCAGAGGGCUCACCGUGAGCACACUGUUACUUUACCAACACUUUCUUUUAAUUAAAACCGACGUGUUUUAGCGAAUGCAAUAAUUUAUUUGAUCUUGCAGUGCUCUCUCUCUCUCUCUCUCUCUCUCUCUUCUCUCUCUCUCUCUCUCUCUCUCUCUCUCUCGAACGAACGAACGAACGAACGGUAAAUAAAUAGUCGCCUACUAUGACAGGGUGAUUAAUGUGAAGAUAAGAGAGAGUUGACAAAAAGGUGAACCAAGAAUGGCCAGGGUCGGAGAAAAUAGAGGAGGGUAGGGGCCAGUUGCUAAAGAGUAUAAUUCGCAAAUGUUGUGAGGAAGGAAGUUCAUCAAAAGGUAAAGGAACAUCCAGGAUGCGAGAUAUCCUGUACAAAGUAGAUGCAGAAGAUACAGUGUGUGUGUGUGUGUGUGCGUGUGUGUGUGUGUGUGUGUGUGUGACUAUAGUAUAUAUGCAUGCACAUUGUGAUAGAGAAAAUUGUAUUAUAUUGUAGUAAUAUGCAUAUACAAUCUAGGAAAAAAAAUACGAAUGUUUAUUUACAUUGGUGAGAAGAAAGAAAAUGAUUCUUUCCUAGAACAACAGGAUUAUGUACAUUCAGGGGAAAAAAUGCGCUGCUCAUGUUUGCGUAACGAAAUCCAUAAAACUGAGGAAUAAAUGAAAGAAAUUAUUUGGACUUAAUUAGAGGUAGUGUCAGAAAUGUUUUAGAAUAUCGAGAGCUCUAAUUAAUGGCAAAGUCAUCCGGCCGUAAAUUGGACUACUUCAUUUAUGCCUUUGGAGCAACGACAUCAAAGAAAACCUGCCUCCUCGUUAAGUGAAGUUAUG